AUGAGGAUGGAAGUGGAACCAAGUUGAAGAAUGUUAUAAAGGCAGCUUCAAGGCAUCCAGAGAUCCUGCAACCCCUGGAUUGCAUCACUGCCUUUGCUAUUGGAUUUUAGAAUUGUGGUGGCACAUUGCUAAGGACCCACCACAACUAGAGCUGGAGCUAUCCCUGAACCUGUUGCCUACCUGCCUGCUUGUGGAUCCCUCACUGCUAAAUGGACAGCCUCAAAUGGCUUCAGUUGGAGAGAAAGUGUCCAUUCCCACAGCAAGUUGAUGGAGCUGGCAUCCAGAGAGGAGCUUCACCUUCUGAUGGGAAUAAAGGGAGGGACUGCAUGAGGGGCUACUUGGAGGGGAGGAAGGGCUGGUACUGGGUUGUAAAGUGAAUACAUAAAUAAAUUUAAUUAAAAAAUGA